GACGAACGCUGGCGGCGUGCCUAAUACAUGCAAGUCGAACGCUUCUUUCCUCCCGAGUUCUUGCACUCAAUUGGAAAGAGGAGUGGCGGACGGGGGAGUAACACGUGGGUAACCUACCCAUCAGAGGGGGAUAACACUUGGAAACAGGUGCUAAUACCGCAUAACAGUUUAUGCCGCAUGGCAUAAGAGUGAAAGGCGCUUUCGGGUGUCGUUGAUGGAUGGACCCGCGGUGCAUUAGCUAGUUGGUGAGGUAACGGCUCACCAAGGCCACGAUGCAUAGCCGACCUGAGAGGGUGAUCGGCCACACUGGGACUGAGACACGGCCCAGACUCCUACGGGAGGCAGCAGUAGGGAAUCUUCGGCAAUGGACGAAAGUCUGACCGAGCAACGCCGCGUGAGUGAAGAAGGUUUUCGGAUCGUAAAACUCUGUUGUUAGAGAAGAACAAGGACGUUAGUAACUGAACGCCCCCUGACGGUAUCUAACCAGAAAGCCACGGCUAACUACGUG
rnacentral:rRNA from 1 species